GGUUGAAGCUGACGUCGAGGACGAUGAUGCUUGUGGAUGACACCAAUCCGAGCGGCAGGUCACCGAACAGCGAAUUGUAGGACAAGUUAAGACGCUGCAAGCCAGUGAGGUGAUUCCUUCCCAUUUGCAGCAGUCAGUACCUUGCCAAAGCUUGGUGAGACCAGCAUCCUGCGAGAGCUCCGAGAGGAACUGGAGGAGGGAUGUCCUCUCCAGCUCCAUGCAGGAGGAACUGGUGCAAGGCGUCAAGGAGAUGAGCAGCACAAGGGUAAGGCCAAUGGAAGGUAUGUGAAAUCUGUUUUGGUUCCUCUUGUAUGAAAAGUGGAGUGGCUGCAUGGCUUCCUAUUGAAAGUUUGAAACUUGCAUGGGAACCAGAUGCUUAAGUUAUGCCCUCUUUAGACGAACUACCAAUGGUCUAAACAGGGAAGAGCAUGAGACAGAAGUAGUAGGAGGCGGCUCUUGGCUCUGCUUGCUGGUCCCUUGAUAGCCGUGGCCACCCAAAGAAAAAUGGAGUCAAGGAUUAUAUGCUACAACAAAAUGCUGAUUAUGGUUCUAUUUUAUACACCAGACGAAGCAGCCUGCAUGUUCACACUUUGACAUUUUCAUUGGUGGCAAGCUGAUCCAUCUGAACAAGCUUCUUGCCGUAUAAAAUAUUUGCCUUCUCCGGAUCAUCAUUAAACAAUCCUGGCUGAAUUAUUAUUACAGACUGCCAUGAUUUACCUGAUCACACAUAACUUCUUGUGACAGAUUUGACUCGAUACACAGCCUGCCUUUUUUAUCUGAUAUCAGGAUACGGCACCACUUGUCCUACCAGCUUCAGCUAGCCAACCUGUUGUCCACCGCUUGAUGAAUGUUUCCAUUUUUAUACAUAAUAAUGCACCCCUUUUCUUGUUAACAGGAAUCUGGAAAAGUUGCACGGUUCCCAAAGACACUGAAGAUCUUCAAGAUUAUCGAGAAGAGACACUACAGUACAUGGAGAGCCUCACUCCAGGGCGCGCGUACAAUAAUUUAGAUCAAUCAUCGGCGCUGCGGUCAGGGUAUCAACAUGGUUUAAACUUUGGAGAAAGCAUUUUUUGCAAGUGGAGGCUGGAGAAAUAAGAAAGGCAGAGAGGUUGAUGAUGAUGAUGGUGGCUAGCUAAGGACGACCUGGAGCCCUACUCUUUGUCUGAUUGGCUGCCUCGGCCCCGAGGCGUUUACUUUCUGUUAUCCUUGCAGUUGCAGCUUAUGCAGUGAUGUGCACGUUUGCGGCUGUUUUCCAUGCCCCUCUCCCCCGUUCCACUGGUGCGUGAUGGACCUCGGCUCUGGCUGGAAGUAAACUGGGCAGCGUCUUGUGCACGAUGACAGGCAGGCAGGCAGGCUGAGAUUUGAAGCAGCCCCCGGAGAGUGGAGCGCAUGAAUGAACACGACCUAUCGAAAUUAUUCAGGAUUCAGAGCCAAUCGCAGAGGAACCUGCUCAGCUGGGAGCUGAAGGUGAAGGGCGAGUGCCUGGCGUGUCUGCUCGGACUCUCUGAAACCACGGCAGGAUGAUGCAGCAGCCAGCAGAAGCCACGGCAUGCAACGGCUUCAGCAUGCGCGUGGAGGACGCGGCCUUCCCACUCCAACUCCAACUCCACGCGGUCGUCGGUCAGCGGGCUCAUUGCAUUGCACUUGCACCGACUGGAUGGAGACGGGACCCACAGCAAACGUGGAGGUGCAUGGUUGAGCCAAAUCUUGGUUAUGGCCAAAUUUGUAAAUUAAUGCUUGGUUUGCCACGGAAAAAACCUUGGCCAAUACCAAAAUGUAGAGCUGCAAAGAGUGUUUGGAUAGUUGGCCUGCCAAGUUUUAGUUUACUAGACCUGUGUGAAUAUGACCUGUAGGAUUCACAUGUUUAUAUUAUCUUUUUCUUGACUAUAAAACAUGGCACACGUGCAAGGAAAUCAAAGCACGUUCGCGAAAAAAAAAA